GAUGAACGCUGGCGGCGUGCCUAAUACAUGCAAGUCGAGCGAACAGAUGAGGAGCUUGCUCCUCUGACGUUAGCGGCGGACGGGUGAGUAACACGUGGAUAACCUACCUAUAAGACUGGGAUAACUUCGGGAAACCGGAGCUAAUACCGGAUAAUAUAUUGAACCGCAUGGUUCGAUGGUGAAAGACGGUUUUGCUGUCACUUAUAGAUGGAUCCGCGCCCAAGUGGCUAGUUGGUAAGGUAACGGCUUACCAAGGCAACGGUGCGUAGCCGACCUGAGAGGGUGAUCGGCCACACUGGAACUGAGACACGGUCCAGACUCCUACGGGAGGCAGCAGUAGGGAAUCUUCCGCAAUGGGCGAAAGCCUGACGGAGCAACGCCGCGUGAGUGAUGAAGGUCUUCGGAUCGUAAAACUCUGUUAUUAGGGAAGAACAAAUGUGUAAGUAACUAUGCACGUCUUGACGGUACCUAAUCAGAAAGCCACGGCUAACUACGUG
rnacentral:rRNA from 1 species